rnacentral:rRNA from 1 species
UACGGAGGGAGCUAGCGUUGUUCGGAAUUACUGGGCGUAAAGCGCACGUAGGCGGCUUUGUAAGUAAGAGGUGAAAGCCCGGAGCUCAACUCCGGAACUGCCUUUUAGACUGCAUCGCUUGAAUCCAGGAGAGGUGAGUGGAAUUCCGAGUGUAGAGGUGAAAUUCGUAGAUAUUCGGAGGAACACCAGUGGCGAAGGCGGCUCGCUGGACUGAAUACUGACGCUCGAAACGCGAAAGCUAGGGGAGCGAACGGG